GACGAACGCUGGCGGCGUGCUUAACACAUGCAAGUCGAACGGAAAGGCCCUGCUUUUGUGGGGUGCUCGAGUGGCGAACGGGUGAGUAACACGUGAGUAACCUGCCCUUGACUUUGGGAUAACUUCAGGAAACUGGGGCUAAUACCGGAUAGGAGCUCCUGCUGCAUGGUGGGGGUUGGAAAGUUUCGGCGGUUGGGGAUGGACUCGCGGCUUAUCAGCUUGUUGGUGGGGUAGUGGCUUACCAAGGCUUUGACGGGUAGCCGGCCUGAGAGGGUGACCGGCCACAUUGGGACUGAGAUACGGCCCAGAAUCCUACGGGAGGCAGCAGUGGGGAAUAUUGCACAAUGGGCGGAAGCCUGAUGCAGCAACGCCGCGUGCGGGAUGACGGCCUUCGGGUUGUAAACCGCUUUCGCCUGUGACGAAGCGCGAGUGACGGUAAUGGGUAAAGAAGCACCGGCUAACUACGUG
rnacentral:rRNA from 1 species